AUACUAUGAUGAGGGCACUUCCUUAAUAGCUCUUUGACUCUCUCCCAUGCAUCAUACAACGAUUCCCCUUUCGUGUGAUAGAAAUUAUUAAUUUCCCCUCUCAGCUU